rnacentral:rRNA from 1 species
UGCAAGUCGAGCGAACAGACGAGGAGCUUGCUCCUCUGACGUUAGCGGCGGACGGGUGAGUAACACGUGGAUAACCUACCUAUAAGACUGGGAUAACUUCGGGAAACCGGAGCUAAUACCGGAUAAUAUAUUGAACCGCAUGGUUCAAUAGUGAAAGACGGUUUUGCUGUCACUUAUAGGUGGAUCCGCGCCGCAUUAGCUAGUUGGUAAGGUAACGGCUUACCAAGGCAACGAUGCGUAGCCGACCUGAGAGGGUGAUCGGCCACACUGGAACUGAGACACGGUCCAGACUCCUACGGGAGGCAGCAGUAGGGAAUCUUCCGCAAUGGGCGAAAGCUUGACGGAGCAACGCCGCGUGAGUGAUGAAGGUCUUCGGAUCGUAAAACUCUGUUAUUAGGGAAGAACAAAUGUGUAAGUAACUAUGCACGUCUUGACGGUACCUAAUCAGAAAGCCACGGCUAACUACGUGCCAGCAGCCGCGGUAAUACGUAGGUGGCAAGCGUUAUCCGGAAUUAUUGGGCGUAAAGCGCGCGUAGGCGGUUUUUUAAGUCUAAUGUGAAAGCCCACGGCUCAACCGUGGAGGGUC